rnacentral:rRNA from 1 species
GACGAACGCUGGCGGCGUGCUUAACACAUGCAAGUCGAACGAAGAGCGAUGGAAGCUUGCUUCUAUCACUCUUAGUGGCGAACGGGUGAGUAACGCGUAAUCAACCUGCCCUUCAGAGGGGGACAACAGUUGGAAACGACUGCUAAUACCGCAUACGAUCUAACCUCGGCAUCGAGGAUAGAUGAAAGGUGGCCUCUACAUGUAAGCUAUCACUGAAGGAGGGGAUUGCGUCUGAUUAGCUAGUUGGAGGGGUAACGGCCCACCAAGGCGAUGAUCAGUAGCCGGUCUGAGAGGAUGAACGGCCACAUUGGGACUGAGACACGGCCCAGACUCCUACGGGAGGCAGCAGUGGGGAAUCUUCCGCAAUGGACGAAAGUCUGACGGAGCAACGCCGCGUGAGUGAUGACGGCCUUCGGGUUGUAAAGUUCUGUUAAUCGGGACGAAAGGCCUUCUUGCGAAUAGUUAGAAGGAUUGACGGUACCGGAAGAGAAAGCCACGGCUAACUACGUG